UCAUCACAGUGGCCGGAGAAGUAGGCAGCCCUCAGUCCCAGAGCAGGCAGCCCUUGGAGGAGCCCUGGUCUCCAGGGGGCAGACUGUGGCAGGUGGUUUUGGGGGGCGCCGGCUGGGCCCCUCCCCCAGCCGCCCCACGUUUCCGGCCCCAUUGUUUUUGCAGCAGGACAAGCAGGCUGUCCUCGGCCCCUCUGGGAGGGCGGCCGCGGAGGACCGGCCAGGGCAGCAGGACUCUCCUGCAUUCAAAUGAGCACAGAGCAGCUCGGCCAAGUCCUGCGUGAGUCUCAGCCCCAAGUGUGACUCCAGGCUGGGUUUUCGGGGCUGAGGGAGGAGCGCCGGGGUGGGGUGUGCGGCGCACGGCAGAGCCCCGGUGCUCCGUGUGCCCUCUUCCCCUUUAAUUAAGGUUUUGGAGGAGAUUAUAGGUUUACAAAGUUCAGAAUCCAAAGGAUAAGCGUGUGCACUUGCGAGGCCUGCUCCUCUGCGCCCCCUGCUGGCCCGUGAUCGGCUCUGCAGUUCGUCCUGACAGAAACAAGCGCUGCACCUCAGGGGCGUGUCCUACCGCACAGGAGAGCUAGUGUCGGGGCGCUGCGCACACACGUCCUGCUGGAAGCGGGAGGGGCGGGCAACGCUGAGGUUUACCCUGGACUCCGGGAAGAGGGACCAGACCAGUCCUGGGGACUCCUGUGGCUCAAGAUUGUUUCGCAGUUCGUGCUGAGCACAUAUUACUUCCGUGGUGAACUUGUAGCCUUUGUGUGACUUCUGUACAGAUCUUCUGCGCCCAGUUUGAUGGGGCUUGACAAUUGCACAACCUGUGUAGCUGCCAUUCCAGAGAGCUUAGGAUGUUUCUGUCAUUCUAGAAAAGCCCCCCAGUGCCCUUCCAGCCAGUGCACCUCAUCCCAGGCAGCCGCUGUCUGACUGACCAGUAGAGCCUACAGUCCAUGGGGUCUCAGAGUUGGACCCCACUGAGCGACUGAGCGCACACGCACGUGUGGCUGACACCGACGUCGGGACAGGAGGAGGCACGAGCACCGGCCCUGUCCUGUGACCUGGGCCUCCCUGGUCCACCUGGCCUGCGGGUGGUGUCUCCCUGUCUGCUGCCCUCCGGGGCCUCGCCGUGUCCUGUCUGCACUCUCAGCUCCCCUGGUGCCCUCGUGCCUGUGGCUGCCCAUUUGGCUUCCUCCACUGCGCCCAGUGGGCUCUCUCCUGACUGGCCCGGACCUGCUCACCUGCUGGGCUCCCCACCCUCCUCCUUCCCUCGCUGCUCUGGAGUCAGACCCGGAAAGACCGCGUCCAGCAGCCUCUUGGCCCUGACCUACGGUCACCCAACCCACAGAGUGCUGGAGGGAGACGGAGCAUGUGAGGAGAGUGGCUGGAUUCUCCGGGCAAGGAUACUGGAGUGGGCAGCCAUUCCCUUCUCCAGGGGAUCUUCCAGACCCAGGGGUGGAAUCUGGGUCUCCUGCAUUGCAGGCAGACUCUGCAGUGUCUGAGCCACCAGGGAAGCCCUUUGAAAAAAAUUAAUCCUGGUCAAAUAACACAAAAUGUACCAUCUUAACCACUUUUAAGCGUCCAGAUCAGUGGCAUUAAGCGCAUUCACAUUGUUGUGCGGUUACAACCACCAUCCAACCCAAUUAACGCUUCACUUUGUAACAGUCACUUUGUCCCCAUUGAACACCAGCUCCCGCUCGGCUCCCCCCGCCCUGGGCCCCACCAUCCAACUUUCUGUCACUAUGAAUCUGCAUGCUCCUGGGGCCUCAUGUAAGUGAAAUCACGCCCUGCUGUCCUUCCAUGACUGACUUGUUGCACUGCUGACCAGAGUGUCUUCAAGCUUCCUCCAUGUCGUGGCAUGUCGGGGCUUCCUUCCUGUUUAAACCUAAUAGUAUUCUGGGAAAUUGAUUAUUUUUCAGACGUUCUUACUUUGCAAAAUAAAGCUAGCCACCCAAUGUCAGUUGCCCAAAUGCCUAUGAAAUGGCUCU